AUUGAACGCUGGCGGCAGGCCUAACACAUGCAAGUCGAACGGUAACAGGAAGAAGCUUGCUUCUUUGCUGACGAGUGGCGGACGGGUGAGUAAUGUCUGGGAAACUGCCUGAUGGAGGGGGAUAACUACUGGAAACGGUAGCUAAUACCGCAUAACGUCGCAAGACCAAAGAGGGGGACCUUCGGGCCUCUUGCCAUCGGAUGUGCCCAGAUGGGAUUAGCUAGUAGGUGGGGUAACGGCUCACCUAGGCGACGAUCCCUAGCUGGUCUGAGAGGAUGACCAGCCACACUGGAACUGAGACACGGUCCAGACUCCUACGGGAGGCAGCAGUGGGGAAUAUUGCACAAUGGGCGCAAGCCUGAUGCAGCCAUGCCGCGUGUAUGAAGAAGGCCUUCGGGUUGUAAAGUACUUUCAGCGGGGAGGAAGGGAGUAAAGUUAAUACUUUUGCUCAUUGACGUUACCCGCAGAAGAAGCACCGGCUAACUCCGUG
rnacentral:rRNA from 1 species